rnacentral:rRNA from 1 species
ACGGGUGAGUAACACGUGGAUCAUCUACCUUUUAGUGGGGAAUACCUCUGGGAAACCGGAGACAAUACCGCAUAAGCCCGCAAGGGGAAAGCAGCAAGACGCUUCAGGAUGAGCCCGCGGCCCAUCAGCUAGUUGGCGGGGUAACGGCCCACCAAGGCGAAGACGGGUAGCUGGUCUGAGAGGACGGCCAGCCACACUGGAACUGAGACACGGUCCAGACUCCUACGGGAGGCAGCAGUGGGGAAUCUUGCGCAAUGGGCGAAAGCCUGACGCAGCGACGCCGUGUGUGCGAUGAAGGUCUUCGGAUCGUAAAGCACUGUCGCCCGGGAAAAAGAGCGUGAUGGUACCGGGAGAGGAAGCACCGGCUAACUCUGUGCCAGCAGCCGCGG